UUGUAAAUGGACAAACCAAUAGGAUCAAAUUCAAAAACGUCUUUUAUGUGCCUAAGAUGAAACAAAACCUAUUUUUGGUGAGUAAACUUGUAAUGGAAGGUUUUAAACUUCAAUUCAACAUGAAUGGAUGUUUUGUAAGAGCAUUGAGUAGAGACAAGGUCUUCAAAGGCUUUAGAGAGGAAAAUUUGUACUACCUCAUUUUUAAGAAGGUGAAUGGAGUGGAAG
rnacentral:lncRNA from 1 species